rnacentral:rRNA from 1 species
UGGUGCCAGCAGCCGCGGUAAUUCCAGCUCCAAUAGCGUAUAUUAAAGUUGUUGUGGUUAAAAAGCUCGUAGUUGAACCUUGGGCCUGGCUGGCCGGUCCCCCUCACCGGGUGCACUGAUCCAGCCGGGCCUUUCCCUCUGUGGAACCCCAUGGCCUUCACUGGCUGUGGCGGGGAAACAGGACUUUUACUUUGUAAAAAUUAGAGUGCUCCAGGCAGGCCUAUGCUCGAAUACAUUAUAAUGGAAAAAAAAAAUAGGGUGUGGGUUUCUAUUUUGUGGGUUUAUAGGACCGCCGUAAUGAUUAAUAGGGACAGUCGGGGGCAUCAGUAUUCAAUUGUCAGAGGUGAAAUUCUUGGAUCUAUUGAAGACUAACUACUGCGAAAGCAUUUGCCAAGGAUGUUUUCAUUGAUAAGGAACGAAAGUUAGGGGAUCGAAGACGAUCAGAUACCGUCGUAGUCUUAACUAUAAACUAUG